AGGCAUUGAAUUGAACUUGAUUUCUGGGAUUUAGUACUCUUUAUGAUGGAUUUGGAUUUAUAGAAGAUGAAAAUAUUAGCUAUGGGACGUGGUCUUAGUGGGUUUUAGUCAUUUAGUGCUAUGCAUUUGGAGGGUUGGCUGCAUAUUGGGAGUAUUUGGUUCUAUAUAUGACUAGAAACUUUUGGUUCUGAUGUUAUUGAUGGUUUUAUAGUUCCGAAUGAUUCCUCCGAAAACUUGUGUAUCCGAUGAGUAUCAAGUAAUUUCAGGUUGAUGAAGUAAAGCGGGCUUUUGCACCAUUAUGAGUCUGUGGCCAAAUUCAUAGUUAAAAAUUAGCAAUGCAUUGCAUUUGAAAUCCAAGUUAAUUGAAGAAAAAUAAUGCGCAUUUCAUUUGGGUAUGUGGCUUUCAUGAUUCCCUUACACCUCUGCCUUCUUUCCAUCCCCAAACCUUGUGCCUAACAUUAAAACAAGUCACAAAAUGUUAAAAAAUUACUGAAAACUGCCCAUUGUGGCUUUUAUUUAGGACUUAAAACUUUUACUUGAUGAGAUAUUAAAGGUAAUCAGUUUUGAAUUUCUUUAUAUACAAAUAAUACAAUACAUUUCUGAAUUCUGUAAUAUCUGGACGACAUAAUGGUCUUCUCUAUUCAUCAAUUGUUGCCCUUUUGGCCGCGGCCAGAUGCAGAGGCCUUUUGAGGAGGCAACAUUCUCUCUCAAGGUUGGGGAGAUAAGUGAAAUUGUGGAUACAGACAGUGGAGUUCAUAUCAUCCUGAGGACCGGUUGAUCAGUUGGAAGUGAAACUUGUUGAUUUUUGAGCAUCCAAGUUUAUCAGUAAUAUAUGGAUUGUUGCUUUCUUUUGUUAUUGCCAAUGACUAGCCAUUCAUAGUGUAUGAAGCAAAAUUGGCUAACUAGAUGGAUUUGAACACUUCUUUUGAUAACAUUUAUUAUGGGAAUUUUAUGGUUGUGAUUUGGAACUUUGGAUUUCCUAUGAAGUUUUAUUCUGUGUAUUUCACAAUUCUGAUGUUAUGGCUAAUAAUAACUUUGAUCUGAAGUAUCAUGUGGACUGCUUCUGA
rnacentral:lncRNA from 1 species